CGCUUCAUAAAAAUAUGGACAGAAACACAGUGAAUAUGAAACGCGCAGCGCCAUUAUGCGCAGCGUGCGCGCGCACGGAGUAGAGCUAUUUGUGGAUUAUUUACUUAUUUCAAGACUUGUUUUGAAAAAAUAUUAUACUUGAUAGUGUUGUCUGGAUGCCAAAGCUUGGAUUCUGGCCGGUUUUUGUGGAUUAUUUUCAUCUUUGACCAGUAAUAGAGCAUCCAAAUCUGAUUCUGGUUUGCACAAUUCCCCCAAAUCCCAGACUGACUCCACAGGUCUACAGCUCCCCCUACAGGUUUCUCCAGCAGAGGGCGCUCUCCCCCCAUUACUUUCCAGCUGAAGUCUGCAGAGUCUGAUGUUUUCACAGGAUCCGCCUCCACUCAGUACAGCUACAGUCUAAGGUUCCUACAUGUACAGUAUCAGUCUCCUGGUGGACGCUGAGCAGCAACUGCAGGUUCAGGUCCUCAUUCAUGAGCAUCCAGAAGCCAUUUCUGCAAGAUUUUAGACUCUACAGGAACUUUAGCUUCAACAAGGUGUCUCUGAAUGUGGAGCCCCACACCGCUGGACUCAUCGAUCUCCAAAGUGUUCAUUGUUCUUUUAUUUACAGCAAUUCUAACAUUUGGUUUAAUAUCUUUUGGUCAUUUUCACCUCAGUUUUCGUGGCCUGUAGCAGCUUGUUUUUUGUAAAAGAUGUGAUUACACGUUUCAUUGAAGUAUAUCCAAACUUUUGUUCACAACGGUACUACUAAUGCAAAUCACGAAAUGUGUGUCUUAUCUGCAGUUUGUGUUUUGUCCUCUGAAUGUGGAGCUACACACCACUGGCCUCACUGACUUCCUAAAUGUUUGUUGAUCUUUUAUGUACACUUUUAAACGAAAGUCUACAGACACUUGUGAAGAUCACGUAUAUCAUGGCAGUCUUUAGUUUGCAAUGACUCCUAUAACUCUGAAUUUUGAAAAAAAAACACCUGUCUUUGUCACAGACUCAUGCAUUUUGUUUCUUUCAUUGAUUUAUUAAAGGUCUUCUGAAAAUA